GAGCGGACAGAAGGGAGCUUGCUCCCGGAUGUUAGCGGCGGACGGGUGAGUAACACGUGGGUAACCUGCCUGUAAGACUGGGAUAACUCCGGGAAACCGGAGCUAAUACCGGAUAGUUCCUUGAACCGCAUGGUUCAAGGAUGAAAGACGGUUUCGGCUGUCACUUACAGAUGGACCCGCGGCGCAUUAGCUAGUUGGUGAGGUAACGGCUCACCAAGGCGACGAUGCGUAGCCGACCUGAGAGGGUGAUCGGCCACACUGGGACUGAGACACGGCCCAGACUCCUACGGGAGGCAGCAGUAGGGAAUCUUCCGCAAUGGACGAAAGUCUGACGGAGCAACGCCGCGUGAGUGAUGAAGGUUUUCGGAUCGUAAAGCUCUGUUGUUAGGGAAGAACAAGUGCAAGAGUAACUGCUUGCACCUUGACGGUACCUAACCAGAAAGCCACGGCUAACUACGUGCCAGCAGCCGCGGUAAUACGUAGGUGGCAAGCGUUGUCCGGAAUUAUUGGGCGUAAAGGGCUCGCAGGCGGUUUCUUAAGUCUGAUGUGAAAGCCCCCGGCUCAACCGGGGAGGGUCAUUGGAAACUGGGAAACUUGAGUGCAGAAGAGGAGAGUGGAAUUCCACGUGUAGCGGUGAAAUGCGUAGAGAUGUGGAGGAACACCAGUGGCGAAGGCGACUCUCUGGUCUGUAACUGACGCUGAGGAGCGAAAGCGUGGGGAGCGAACAGGAUUAGAUACCCUGGUAGUCCAC
rnacentral:rRNA from 1 species